AUCCUGGCUCAGACGAACGCUGGCGGCGUGCUUAACACAUGCAAGUCGAACGGUGAACCCGCUUCGGUGGGGGAUCAGUGGCGAACGGGUGAGUAACACGUGGGCAACCUGCCCUCAGCUCUGGGAUAACUCCAAGAAAUUGGGGCUAAUACCGGAUAUGACCGCUGACCGCAUGGUCUGGUGGUGGAAAGAUUUAUCGGCUGAGGAUGGGCCCGCGGCCUAUCAGCUUGUUGGUGGGGUAGUGGCCUACCAAGGCGACGACGGGUAGCCGGCCUGAGAGGGUGACCGGCCACACUGGGACUGAGACACGGCCCAGACUCCUACGGGAGGCAGCAGUGGGGAAUAUUGCGCAAUGGGCGAAAGCCUGACGCAGCGACGCCGCGUGGGGGAUGACGGCCUUCGGGUUGUAAACCUCUUUCAGCAGGGACGAAGCGAAAGUGACGGUACCUGCAGAAGA
rnacentral:rRNA from 1 species